rnacentral:rRNA from 1 species
UACGUAGGCAGUGAGCGUUGUUCGGAGUUACUGGGCGUAAAGGGUGUGUAGGCGGUUUUCUAAGUUUGGUGUGAAAUCUCCCGGCUCAACCGGGAGGGUGCGCCGAAAACUGGGAGACUAGAGUGCGGGAUGGGAGAGUAGAAUUCCUGGUGUAGCGGUGAAAUGCGUAGAUAUCAGGAGGAAUACCGGUGGUGUAGACGGCUCUCUGGACCGCCACUGACGCUGAGACACGAAAGCGUGGGUAGCAAACAGG